rnacentral:rRNA from 1 species
UACGUAGGGUGCAAGCGUUAAUCGGAAUUACUGGGCGUAAAGCGUGCGCAGGCGGCUGCAUAAGUCAGACGUGAAAGCCCCGGGCUUAACCUGGGAACGGCGUUUGAAACUGUGCGUCUAGAGUGCGGCAGAGGGGGGUGGAAUUCCGCGUGUAGCAGUGAAGUGCGUAGAGAUGCGGAGGAACACCGAUGGCGAAGGCAGCCCCCUGGGAUGACACUGACGCUCAUGCACGAAAGCGUGGGGAGCAAACAGG